rnacentral:lncRNA from 1 species
CCGAGUCUAGUGUGAUUUAUGAUUUACUGUUAUUUGGCCUGUUUUACAGCUUUAAAUGCAUUAUGAGGUUUGAUGUGUUCAUUUUAUAGUUUCGAGUGCAUAUAUUACUGUUUUAUUUAUUUAUGGGUUGAAAGACUGAAGAACUGAUACUGUAUGUUGUCUGUUUGGCAUGAAUUACGAUUUGCUUUCUUAAAUGUGAAUUGACGAUGCUUAUUGAGGAAAAGGAAAAUGAAAGAUUGUGUAGACUGAUAAUUGUAUGAUGGGGUUAGCCUGACUAGAUAUCCUAGGAGAUGGUGGACGGACCGGGUCCGUAGGGAACCCUACCGGGAUUGUGGUCUCACAUGUCGGACGGGGUAUGGAGAUCUUAUGGUUUUGGC